GACGAACGCUGGCGGCGUGCUUAACACAUGCAAGUCGAACGGUGAAGCGCCUUCCUUUUUGGUGGGUGUGGAUGAGUGGCGAACGGGUGAGUAACACGUGAGUAACCUGCCCCCUUCUUCUGGAUAACCGCAUGAAAGUGUGGCUAAUACGGGAUAUUCUGGGUCUGUCGCAUGAUGGGUCUGGGAAAGAUUUUGUUUCGGUGGGGGAUGGGCGCGCGGUCUAUCAGCUUGUUGGUGGGGUGAUGGCCUACCAAGGCGGUGACGGGUAGCCGGCCUGAGAGGGUCGGCGGUCACGCAGGUACUGAGACACCGCCCAGACUCCGACGGGAGGCAGCAGUGAGGAAUAUUGCACAGUGGGCGCAAUCCUGAUGCAGCGACGCCGCGUGAGGGAUGGAGGCCUUCGGGUUGUGAACCUCUUUCGCCAGUGAAGCAGGCCUGCCUCGUUUGUGGGUGGGUUGACGGUAGCUGGAGAAGAAGCGCCGGCUAACUACGUG
rnacentral:rRNA from 1 species